rnacentral:rRNA from 1 species
GAUGAACGCUGGCGGCGUGCUUAACACAUGCAAGUCGAACGAGAAUCCAGUGAAGGAGUUUUCGGACAACGGAUCUGGAGGAAAGUGGCGGACGGGUGAGUAACGCGUGAGCAAUCUGCCUUGGAGUGGGGAAUAACGGUUGGAAACAGCCGCUAAUACCGCAUGAAACAGCUGAGUCGCAUGGCUCUGGCUGUCAAAGAUUUAUCGCUCUGAGAUGAGCUCGCGUCUGAUUAGCUAGUUGGCGGGGUAACGGCCCACCAAGGCGACGAUCAGUAGCCGGCCUGAGAGGGUGAACGGCCACAUUGGGACUGAGACACGGCCCAA